rnacentral:rRNA from 1 species
GUGGGGAAUUUUGGACAAUGGGCGCAAGCCUGAUCCAGCAAUGCCGCGUGCAGGAAGAAGGCCUUCGGGUUGUAAACUGCUUUUGUACGGAACGAAACGGUUCUCUCUAAUACAGGGGGCUAAUGACGGUACCGUAAGAAUAAGCACCGGCUAACUACGUGCCAGCAGCCGCGGUAAUACGUAGGGUGCAAGCGUUAAUCGGAAUUACUGGGCGUAAAGCGUGCGCAGGCGGUUUUGUAAGACAGAGGUGAAAUCCCCGGGCUCAACCUGGGAACUGCCUUUGUGACUGCAAGGCUGGAGUGCGGCAGAGGGGGAUGGAAUUCCGCGUGUAGCAGUGAAAUGCGUAGAUAUGCGGAGGAACACCGAUGGCGAAGGCAAUCCCCUGGGCCUGCACUGACGCUCAUGCACGAAAGCGUGGGGAGCAAACAGGAUUAGAAACCCUAGUAGUCC